rnacentral:misc_RNA from 1 species
GUAGGUGAACCUGCGGAAGGAUCAUUAAAAGUAAUAUGUAUUCACUCGAAUAUACAUUAUAAACCCCCCCCCUGUGUACCUUACCUGUUGCUUCCGCUGGGCAGUGAUCUCGGUCACCUGCGAACCGGAAGGCGCGAGCCUUUCGGUGGUAGAGUCCCAGCGAAUGGUCUACAUCAAACCCUUGCAUUUCUAUGUCAUCUGUCUGAACCUGUUUAUAACAAAUGUUAAAACUUUCAACAACGGAUCUCUUGGUUCUC